CAGAAUUUACGACUUUCUUGGGUCAGCAGAAAAUGUUUCAAUAAAUUUAAAUUCUUUGAUCUUCUAAAAUUGAAAAUAGUAAUUUAGAUUUGUGUAAAAAAUUGUUAUUAUUGAUGAUUAGGCAAGUGAGGAGGUGAAUAUAGAUCGUCUUUUCUCAUCUUCAUCGUCAAACCUUCUCCAGGAGUUACAGAACAGUCAGAAAAAGAAAUUAGAAACAAUGGAGAAAGUGCAAGCACAUUUUGGAAAACGUUUUGAUACAAUUGAUCCAAUCAGUGAAGAGGAACUGGUCCCCUUCCUUAAAGUGCUUCUACAGAAAUAAAAUGAUUUAUACGGAUUAAUCCUUGCUUAAUAAAUUUGAUUUAUAAUUUUU